UUUUUCUGGUAGCAAUACCGGAAAAAGUCUAGUGGCGAACGGGUGCGUAACACGUGGACAAUCUGCCUUAAAGUGGGGGAUAGCUCGGCGAAAGCCGAAUUAAUACCGCAUGUGAUGAGGGAAGACAUCUUUCUGAAAUCAAAGCCGGGGCAACCUGGCGCUUUUUGAGGAGUCCGCGGCCUAUCAGCUUGUUGGUGAGGUAACGGCUCACCAAGGCUAUGACGGGUAGCUGGUCUGAGAGGACGACCAGUCACACUGGAACUGAGACACGGUCCAGACACCUACGGGUGGCAGCAGUCGAGAAUUUUUCUCAAUGGGGGAAACCCUGAAGGAGCGACGCCGCGUGGGGGAUGAAUGGCUUCGGCCCGUAAACCCCUGUCAUUUGCGAUCAAACCUUACGACCUAACACGUCGUAAGCUGAUAGUAGCGGAAGAGGAAGGGACGGCUAACUCUGUGCCAGCAGCCGCGGUAAUACAGAGGUCCCAAGCGUUGUUCGGAUUCACUGGGCGUAAAGGGUGCGUAGGCGGUCGGGUAAGUCUGACGUGAAAUCUUCAAGCUCAACUUGGAAACUGCGUCGGAUACUAUUCGGCUAGAGGAAUGGAGGGGAGACUGGAAUACUUGGUGUAGCAGUGAAAUGCGUAGAUAUCAAGUGGAACACCAGUGGCGAAGGCGAGUCUCUGGACAUUUCCUGACGCUGAGGCACGAAAGCCAGGGGAGCAAACGGGAUUAGAUACCCCGGUAGUCCUGGCCCUAAACGGUG
rnacentral:rRNA from 1 species